GAUGAAGAACGCAGCGAAAUGCGAUAAGUAGUGUGAAUUGCAGAAUUCAGUGAAUCAUCGAAUCUUUGAACGCACAUUGCGCCCCUCGGUAUUCCGUGGGGCAUGCCUGUUCGAGCGUCAUCUACACCCUCAAGCUCUGCUUGGUGUUGGGCGUCUGACCCGCCUCCGCGCGUGGACUCGCCCCAAAUUCAUUGGCAGCGGUCCUUGCCUCCUCUCGCGCAGCACAUUGCGCUUCUCGAGGGGCUACGGCUCGCGUCCAACAAGCACAUUUACCGUCUUUGACCUCGGAUCAGGUAGGGAUACCCGCUGAACUUAAGCAUAUCAAUAAGCGGAGGA
rnacentral:misc_RNA from 1 species